rnacentral:ncRNA from 1 species
GGAAGCCGGUUCGAAUCCGGCGCGGUCGCGCCACUGUGAUCGACAUGUUGCAUGUCGUCAGCCAGAC